GACAUCCAACUUGGUCUCCGGAAAGGUUCAGAAACUCCAUCCUAGUCGGCUAUCAACCCGAAACCUCCAUCCUCAAACUCUUGAGUAAAGAAUGACGAACUUGAGUGUGUUACUGCUGUUCGCCCUGCUGGGUGUCCUGUUAGCAAGUCCGUUCAUUGACCGCCUGCAGCAAAAUGCUAAACAACAGGAGGCUGAAGAGAGGACCGAGGACCAGCCUCUUCAAAUGAUGUAUAGAAUGUUUUGUGGCUGGAGUUGUUUGCCACAUUAUCAAAAAGUAACAAGAAACGGUCAUUGCUAUUGUGAAAAGAAAACACAUUGUGUAAAGAAAGGUGUCUUAUCAUAAGGGACGAGCUAUUGCCGAUUUUACUUCUGGUUUGAGCUGUGCAUGAGUGCUUAGUGUGGUGUGUGUACAAAACAAUCAUGGGCUAAUACAUUUACAAGGCCAACAAUGUAAAAACACACAUAUAUAUA